rnacentral:rRNA from 1 species
GACUACUCGGGUAUCUAAGCCCGUUCGCUCCCCUGGCUUUCGCCGUUGAGUGUCAGUAUGAGGCUAGAUGAUCGCUUUCGCCAUCGGUGUUCUACCCGAUAUCAACAGAUUUCACCCCUACACCGGGUAUUCCAUCAUCCCAUCCUCUACUCAAGCUCUACAGUAUCGGUCGCCUCUCCCACGUUGAGCAUAGGUAUUUGACAACCGACUUAUAAAGCCACCUACCGGCCCUUUACGCCCAGUGAUUCCGAGCAACGUUCGCCCCUUACGUAUUACCGCGGCUGCUGGCACGUAGUUAGCCGGGACUUAUUCGCAGAGUACUAUCAUCCCAUUCGGUUAUUUCUCCCCUGCAAAAGCAGUUUACAACCCAAAGGGCCUUCAUCCUGCACGCAGUGUCGCUCCUUCAGGGUUUCCCCCAUUGAGGAAGAUUCCUCACUGCAGCCCCCCGUAGG